rnacentral:rRNA from 1 species
AUUGAACGCUGGCGGCAGGCCUAACACAUGCAAGUCGAGCGAGCGGCGGACGGGUGAGUAAUGUAUGGGGACUGCCUGAUAGAGGGGGAUAACUACUGGAAACGGUGGCUAAUACCGCAUACUAUCGGAUAACCCGUACGGGAUUAGCUAAUAGGUGGGGUAAAGGCUCACCUAGGCGACGAUCCCUAGCUGGUCUGAGAGGGUGAUCGGCCACACUGGGACUGAGACACGGCCCAGACUCCUACGGAGGCAGCAGUGGGGAAUAUUGCGCAAUGGGCGAAAGUCUGACGCAGCCACGCCGCGUGAGUGAAGAAGGUCUUCGGAUUGUAAAGUACUUUUAGUGGAGAAGCGUUACCUACAGAGGAAGCACCGGCUAACUCCGUGCCAGCAGCCGCGGUAAUAC